AAUGUAGUGCUUCUAUUUACGAUCUGGGGUCUUGUUUUCAUUCAACACGUCUUUCCCUGGAGUAAGUGUACGCCCCGUCGUGCAUUAUUUAAAUAAUGCAUAUUUAGGCACGAUUGUAUUGUUUAAAUGCAUUACUUGGUGUCUGCACGCACUGUUUGAGUGUAAAAUUUCGUUUGGUAUACCACUUUUUUUUUCAUGGAUGUAGUAUUACUUUUGGAAUUGCAUACCGAUUCCCAGGUUAUAAAUGUAUUAUGUGGCACGUGGGUUUGAAAAAAAAUAAAGUUUGAAUCUAUACUAAUACGAGUGCAGUGUAUCCACGUGUAGUUUCUUGCUCUAACGUAAUUUGGUAGAUAACUGUAGUACUCUGUGGUGCCUAUGUCGGUCAAGUCAUUUCCGUUUUAACUUGCCUGUGGAGUUCUCCUUCCGUGUAAAAUGUGUUGGUGGUGCGCCAUUGUAGAAAGGUACCUUUUCGGUCAACUACGCAGAAGUGGGCGAGGCUUGUGUGGUUGACAUGCAAAUAGCUGUGAUGUUUGCAAAUGACGCAUGAUUGACUGCCAUGCAGAUUUGAUAUUGACCUGAUGCAUGCUGAUUGUAGGACAUGCCAGAUGCACUUUACAGCUCUACAGUUACACUGAAGAUAAGGUGGAGAUGCAUGCAGGAAUGACCUGAGAAAUAACCUUGAGGGGUCUGCAGAGACAUUCCAGAACCUUCCAUGUAUGUUGCAAAACGGAUAAGAUGGAGGUACAUGCAGGAAUGACCUGAGACACAACCCUGAGGGAUCUGCGAAGAGACAUUCCAGAGCCUUCCAUGCAUGUUGCAAACCAGAUAAGGUGGAGAUGCAUGCAGGAAUGACCUGAGAAAUAACCUUGAGGGGUCUGCAGAGACAUUCCAGAACCUUCCAUGUAUGUUGCAAAACGGAUCUAAAGGGAAGAAGUAUGCAAGCAGUAGAUGGCUAACCGUGUUGUAUGGAUGACAGAAUGACUGGUACACCACAAAAAAGCUAUAGUUAUAAGUAGAUUGGGAUAUAUCGGAAAACUUAUUGGACACUACACUGUUAUGGAGUAUAUUAAUAUUAAGAAUGCUGCACUGCAAGUCCACUCAAAUGCAUUUUUGACUGAAUCUUCUUGCUAUAUCACAGCUAGGCUCCAAGUGUAGUAUUUAUAAAUUUUCUAGAUGGGAACAAAUGCACUUUGUGGCAAAUCUUUAGAGCUUCUGCAACAGCAGCUUAACAUAUGGACUUCUGCAUCCUUUGGCUGAGAAAAAUAUACAUAACUGUAUAUAUUAACAAAAAAAAUGUAAAAGAUGAAAAAAAAUCUGGUAACGUUGCAUGUAAACUGUCAGGUAAGGCUAGAUUAAAGGUAUCUGAUGCCUGUUUGCAGAUCUUGAUUAGCAGGUUUUGUCAGCCAUUGUUCAAAUGAAUGAGUAAAUCGUGUGUGUAAAUUCUGUCACUACGGUUGGCAGUGUUCCGAUUGUACUUGUGCCAGAUAUGAAUGAAGGGUAACGUGUGGUAUGCAAGAUGCCAUUUCCAGAGUUUUAAAUUGUAUCCGUUAAAGAUGUCAUGGUUGUUAGAAAAAAAAUUAAAUUGUAGUCUUGAUGCUGCAUCUGUCAGUGCAACCCUGCUGUCAUUUAAAAUUUCUCUUUUCACCAAAAUUGCUAAAAAGCAUAUUUAUCUCUGCAUCUUUUGUCUGGGAGACAUUUCCUUCAUCUUGUGUAAAAGUGAUAUAAAUGUAUGUGUAUAUGUCGAAGCAUGAAUGAGUUUGUGGUGGGUGGGACUGGAUAGGUUAAGAAAUGCAUACGGGUAGUUUAUUAGGAAAAUAUAGAUUUUUGAUUACCUCAAGUACAGUUGGGAAAAUGUAUAAAAUGGCUGCAUUCCAGGAAACACAGUAAUGCUAAUUUGUUGUAUUAGGUUUAAACUGGUACAUCUUCACUGAUGAGCAUAGUUUUAAAAUAUUAGCAUAAGCUACAUGGACAGCAUGUGAAACUGUCAUACCAUACCUUUAUGUAAGGAUUUAUGUAAAAUCUUUAGAUUUUUGCUGUAUUCUUUUUUAGCGUGAAUUAACUGGGAAAACUUUGUGUAUAUGACAAGAGGGGCAGGAAGUGAAUUUACUAGUUUUUCCACUGCUUAGUUUGUAUUCAUUAGCCUCUAAGAAAAUUGUGCCAAUACAAACCUUGCUGGCAUGAAGCUGUGCACCUUACUGUCAACUGUAGUAGGAAAACUAAAGGAAUAGUAAAGUAUUAAUUUACUGAUAGUGUAAUGUUUAACUACUGGUGUUUUAGUACAGCAGAGUGAGUCUGCUGUAUUAGGUUCAGUAUCUGAAAAGUCUGAAUUAGCAGAUUAUGCAAAACAGAACUAUCCAAGGUCAGAAAAAACUUCUAGAAGCUAAAAAUGUUCACGUAUUUCAUUUAUACACAAGUAUUUCAGAAUGUUCAGUAACUCUGUCUUUUUGUUCGUCCCAGUUGUGAUUUCAUUUUUUAUUGUUUGCUUCUUGGCAGUACGUUUUUUAAUAAAACGAUGGAGGCAGUAUACUAUGCAGUUGUACUGCACCGUUUGUGCGGAAUGUGGCUUGCUAUUACUGUUAAUAAAAAUAAUACAGAUGUUGCUAGAGUUGAAUAAUAAAUGGUAUUUCAUUGUUGUACUGUUUAAUGAAAUGCUUCUGAAAGUCAUACUUAUCAGACUAAACUGUUAUACAGAAUUUGUAAACUGAUGCAUAGUGAUACAAAACCAAGUGACAUUGUCAGACUGCAAACUUUGUCAAUGUAAUAAAUUAUACUUGGCCAUAGUCUCUGAAACCGGUACAUUUGCUUUUUUGCUUUUCCAAGUAGUGUUCAUUUUGUCAAGUUUGUCAGAGAGGCUGUGCUAGGUCAUGGAUUUCUGACAAGUAAAUAAAAUGGAUUCAUUGCCUCUGAAGAAA